GACAGAGGGUGCAAACGUUGCUCGGAAUCACUGGGCGUAAAGGGCGUGUAGGCGGGAAGGAAAGUCUGAUGUGAAAGCCCUGGGCUCAACCUGGGAAUUGCAUUGGAUACUGGCAGGCUAGAGUGCGGUAGAGGAUGGCGGAAUUCCCGGUGUAGCAGUGAAAUGCGUAGAGAUCGGGAGGAACAUCUGUGGCGAAGGCGGCCAUCUGGACCAGCACUGACACUGAGGCACGAAAGCGUGGGGAGCAAACAGG
rnacentral:rRNA from 1 species